rnacentral:rRNA from 1 species
CCUACGGGAGGCAGCAGUGGGGAAUUUUGGACAAUGGGGGCAACCCUGAUCCAGCCAUGCCGCGUGUGUGAAGAAGGCCUUCGGGUUGUAAAGCACUUUCGGCCGGAACGAAAUCGCGCGAGUUAACACCCCGCGUGGAUGACGGUACCGGAAGAAGAAGCACCGGCUAACUACGUGCCAGCAGCCGCGGUAAUACGUAGGGUGCGAGCGUUAACCGGAAUUACUGGGCGUAAAGUGUGCGCAGGUGGCCGCGCAAGUCGAGUGUGAAAUCCCCGAGCUUAACUUGGGAAUUGCGCUCGAAACUACGUGGCUCGAGUGUGGCAGAGGAAGGUGGAAUUCCACGUGUAGCGGUGAAAUGCGUAGAGAUGUGGAGGAACACCGAUGGCGAAGGCAGCCUUCUGGGCCAACACUGACGCUCAUGCACGAAAGCGUGGGGAGCAAACAGGAUUAGAUACCCUGGUAGUCCACGCCCUAAACGAUGAUGACUAGUUGUUGGGGGAGUUAAAUCCCUUAGUAACGCAGCUAACGCGUGAAGUCAUCCGCCUGGGGAGUACGGUCGCAAGAUUAAAACUCAAAGGAAUUGACGG